AAAAAGCAUAAAAUAAUGCCCACUUUCGGUGAGGACAAAUCAGCCACCAAGAGUGGGAUUGAUAUAUAUAUAUACACAAUACAAUGAAUUAUUGUGUUUCCACUUUUGUUUCAUGAUGGGGUAAAGACAAGAAAAAAAUAUAUAUAUAUAAAAAUACAACCAUUCUCUCUCUCUCCCCGUGUCACACUUCUCUUCCACGGCGAACAUGGCAACUUCGCCGUCCGGCCACCAAAUCGGACGCCGCUACAUCCAAAAGAACCCCCAGGGUCCGAGCAAGAAAACCCAACCCUCCUUGUUAGACAAGACGACGUGAAAUGGUCGGAAAAGCCUCUUAAAGUCGCGGAGGAGCCAUCCCUUUCCACCACCGAUCUAGCCAAUUCCGACGACGGUCUGGCCUUCCAUUGGUACCAAAUGACUCACCAGAUUGAGGGCUACAAUUCCCAACCAACUUCCGGCCAAAACAACCUCCGGAUGUCGGAGAUUCGAGUUUAACCUGGUUUUUGACCCGGCUGGAAUUUCAUUUUCCGGCGACCCCGAAGUUGUAUUCUAACUUGUUUCGUUGUUCUAACCGUGUUGGUGAUGUUUUUGGAUCCAUACGGAUAGCGUUGGAGCAUCUUGGCAAUUUCGUCGUAAAUACGCAUAUACGUACGGUAUACAUGGAGGUGAUCGAGGAGUUGGACUUCAGGCUGUAGACGGUUAAUUAUUUUGUGUACCGCUGUCGAGGUGAGUUGGAUGUAGGUGAUGGCGGUCAGCAGCGGGAUGCAUGAGCUGGU